rnacentral:rRNA from 1 species
UACGAAGGGGGCGAGCGUUGUUCGGAUUUACUGGGCGUAAAGGGCGCGCAGGCGGUUCUGUUUGUCCGGCGUGAAAGCCCCGGGCUCAACCUGGGAGGUGCGCUUGAUACUCGAGGGCUUGAGUGCGGGAGAGGAGAGUGGAAUUCCCAGUGUAGAGGUGAAAUUCGUAGAUAUUGGGAAGAACACCGGUGGCGAAGGCGGCUCUCUGGACCGUAACUGACGCUGAGGCGCGAAAGCGUGGGGAGCAAACAGG